rnacentral:misc_RNA from 1 species
GGGGAUCAGAAUAAGAGCCAUUGAGGAUGGCCAUUGUAAUAAACUUGUUUGCUGCUUCUGUGGCAUGGAUUCCAUCCCAGCUUACAUAGUUGUAGGGGUCAUCACAAGCUGAUGCCGUCACAUUGCUCCCAUUAAUCACUUUGGUAUUUCCACAGAAAACUUGAGAAUCAAAAUUGUAGGUACCUCCCCCAUGUCCACAACAUGCUUUAGGACCAUACUUGAACCCAUGAGAGGUGGGAU